rnacentral:rRNA from 1 species
GAUCAACGCUGGCGGCGUGCAUAACACAUGCAAGUCGAACGAUGACGAUUAAAAGAUUUCUUCGGAAUGAACUUAAUUGGAUUAGUGGCGGACGGGUGAGUAACGCGUGAGUAACCUGCCUUGUACAAGGGGAUAGCCGAUGGAAACGACGAAUAAUACCCUAUGACAUCAAAUAAUCGCAUGAUAAUUUGAUCAAAGAUUUAUCGGUAUAAGAUGGACUCGCGUCUCAUUAGCUAGUUGGUAGAGUAAAAGCCUACCAAGGCAACGAUCAGUAACCGGCAUAAGAGAGUUCACGGGCACAUUAAGACUGAGACACGGCCCAGAAUCCUACGGGAGGCAGCUAUGGGGGAAGUUGGCCAAUGGGGGAAGCCCUGAUGCAGCGACGCCGCGUGAUUUAGAAGGCCUUCGGGUUGUAAAAAUCUUUUGUAUGGGAAGAAAAUGACAGUACCAUACGAAUAAGGACCGGCUAAUUACGUG